UACAGAGGGUGCAAGCGUUGUUCGGAAUUAUUGGGCGUAAAGCGUCCGCAGGUGGCACCUCAAGUCUGCUGUCAAAGACCGGGGCUUAACCCCAGAAAGGCAGUGGAAACUGAAGUGCUAGAGUGCAGUAGGGGUAGAGGGAAUUCCCGGUGUAGCGGUGAAAUGCGUAGAGAUCAGGAAGAACACCGGUGGCGAAAGCGCUCUGCUGGACCUUAACUGACACUGAGGGACGAAAGCUAGGGGAGCGAAUGGG
rnacentral:rRNA from 1 species